rnacentral:rRNA from 1 species
AUUGAACGCUGGCGGCAUGCCUUACACAUGCAAGUCGAACGGUAACAGGUCUUCGGAUGCUGACGAGUGGCGAACGGGUGAGUAAUACAUCGGAACGUGCCCGAUCGUGGGGGAUAACGAAGCGAAAGCUUUGCUAAUACCGCAUACGAUCUACGGAUGAAAGCAGGGGACCGCAAGGCCUUGCGCGAACGGAGCGGCCGAUGGCAGAUUAGGUAGUUGGUGGGAUAAAAGCUUACCAAGCCGACGAUCUGUAGCUGGUCUGAGAGGACGACCAGCCACACUGGGACUGAGACACGGCCCAGACUCCUACGGGAGGCAGCAGUGGGGAAUUUUGGACAAUGGGCGAAAGCCUGAUCCAGCCAUGCCGCGUGCAGGAUGAAGGCCUUCGGGUUGUAAACUGCUUUUGUACGGAACGAAAAGACUCUGGUUAAUACCUGGGGUCCAUGACGGUACCGUAAGAAUAAGCACCGGCUAACUACGUGCCAGCAGCCGCGGUAAUACGUAGGGUGCAAGCGUUAAUCGGAAUUACUGGGCGUAAAGCGUGCGCAGGCGGUUAUAUAAGACAGAUGUGAAAUCCCCGGGCUCAACCUGGGAACUGCAUUUGUGACUGUAUAGCUAGAGUACGGCAGAGGGGGAUGGAAUUCCGCGUGUAGCAGUGAAAUGCGUAGAUAUGCGGAGGAACACCGAUGGCGAAGGCAAUCCCCUGGGCCUGUACUGACGCUCAUGCACGAAAGCGUGGGGAGCAAACA